rnacentral:rRNA from 1 species
UAUCAAUAAGCGGAGGAAAAGAAACCAACAGGGAUUGCCCCAGUAACGGCGAGUGAAGCGGCAACAGCUCAAAUUUGAAAUCUGGUCCCCAGGGCCCGAGUUGUAAUUUGUAGAGGAUGCUUUGGGCGCGGUGCCUUCCGAGUUCCCUGGAACGGGACGCCAUAGAGGGUGAGAGCCCCGUCUGGUCGGAUGCCUAGCCUCUGUAAAGCUCCUUCGACGAGUCGAGUAGUUUGGGAAUGCUGCUCAAAAUGGGAGGUAUAUGUCUUCUAAAGCUAAAUAUUGGCCAGAGACCGAUAGCGCACAAGUAGAGUGAUCGAAAGAUGAAAAGCACUUUGAAAAGAGGGUUAAAAAGUACGUGAAAUUGUUGAAAGGGAAGCGCCUAUGACCAGACUUGGGCCCGGUGAAUCAUCCAGCGUUCUCGCUGGUGCACUUUGCCGGGCACAGGCCAGCAUCAGUUCGGCGCGGGGGACAAAGGCUCUGGGAAUGUGGCUCCCCCGGGAGUGUUAUAGCCCACUGCGUAAUGCCCUGCGCCGGACUGAGGUACGCGCAUCGCAAGGAUGCUGGCGUAAUGGUCAUCAGCGACCCGUCUUGAAACACGGACCAAGGAGUCGUCUUCGUAUGCGAGUGUUCGGGUGUCAAACCCCUACGCGUAAUGAAAGUGAACGCAGGUGAGAGCUUCGGCGCAUCAUCGACCGAUCCUGAUGUUCUCGGAUGGAUUUGAGUAAGAGCAUACGGGGCCGGACCCGAAAGAAGGUGAACUAUGCCUGUGUAGGGUGAAGCCAGAGGAAACUCUGGUGGAGGCUCGCAGCGGUUCUGACGUGCGAAUCGAUCGUCAAACAUGGGCAUGGGGGCGAAAGACUAAUCGAACCUUCUAGUAGCUGGUUUC